UACGGAGGGAGCUAGCGUUGUUCGGAAUUACUGGGCGUAAAGGGCUCGUAGGUGGCCAACUAAGUCAGACGUGAAAUCCCCAGGCUUAACCUGGGAACUGCGUCUGAUACUGGAUGGCUUGAAUUCGGGAGAGGGAUGCAGAAUUCCAGGUGUAGCGGUGAAAUGCGUAGAUAUCUGGAGGAAUACCGGUGGCGAAGGCGGCAUCCUGGACCGAGAUUGACACUGAUGAGCGAAAGCUAGGGGAGCAAACGGG
rnacentral:rRNA from 1 species